rnacentral:rRNA from 1 species
CGAGCGCGCCCUUCGGGGUGAGCGGCGGACGGGUUAGUAACGCGUGGGAAUAUGCCCGACACUAAGGAAUAGCCUCUGGAAACGGAGAGUAAUACCUUAUACGCCCUUCGGGGGAAAGAUUUAUCGGUGACGGAUUAGCCCGCGUUAGAUUAGAUAGUUGGUGGGGUAAUGGCCUACCAAGUCUACGAUCUAUAGCUGGUUUUAGAGGAUGAUCAGCAACACUGGGACUGAGACACGGCCCAGACUCCUACGGGAGGCAGCAGUGGGGAAUCUUGGACAAUGGGCGCAAGCCUGAUCCAGCCAUGCCGCGUGAGUGAUGAAGGCCUUAGGGUCGUAAAGCUCUUUCGCCAGAGAUGAUAAUGACAGUAUCUGGUAAAGAAACCCCGGCUAACUCCGUGCCAGCAGCCGCGGUAAUACGGAGGGGGUUAGCGUUGUUCGGAAUUACUGGGCGUAAAGCGCGCGUAGGCGGAUUAGUCAGUUAGAGGUGAAAUCCCGGGGCUCAACCCCGGAACUGCCUUUAAUACUGCUAGUCUUGAGUUCGAGAGAGGUGAGUGGAAUUCCGAGUGUAGAGGUGAAAUUCGUAGAUAUUCGGAGGAACACCAGUGGCGAAGGCGGCUCACUGGCUCGAUACUGACGCUGAGGUGCGAAAGUGUGGGGAGCAAACAGGAUU